rnacentral:rRNA from 1 species
GGCCCAGACUCCUACGGGAGGCAGCAGUGAGGAAUAUUGGUCAAUGGACGAGAGUCUGAACCAGCCAAGUAGCGUGAAGGAUGACUGCCCUAUGGGUUGUAAACUUCUUUUAUAUGGGAAUAAAAUGUUCCACGUGUGGGAUUUUGUAUGUACCAUAUGAAUAAGGAUCGGCUAACUCCGUGCCAGCAGCCGCGGUAAUACGGAGGAUCCGAGCGUUAUCCGGAUUUAUUGGGUUUAAAGGGAGCGUAGGUGGAUUGUUAUGUCAGUUGUGAACGUUUGCGGCUCAACCGUAAAAUUGCGAUUGAUUCUGGCAGUCUUGAGUACAGUUGAGGUAGGCGGAAUUCGUGGUGUAGCGGUGAAAUGCUUAGAUAUCACGAAGAACCCCGGUUGCGAAGGCAGCUUACUAAGCUGUGACUGCCAUUGAUGCUCGAAAGUGUGGUAUCAAACAGGAUUAGAUCCCCCAGUA